rnacentral:rRNA from 1 species
CGUAACAAGGUUUCCGUAGGUGAACCUGCGGAAGGAUCAUUAAUGAAACCUCAAAGUCGGCUUUGUCAUCUGUGCUGGUGGAGACACAUGUGCACGUCGACAAAGUCGCAAACCCCACACACCUGUGCAUCUAUGACUCUGAGUACCGCUUUGCAUGGGCCGUCAAAUGCCCUGGUACUCGAGUAACUUUCACACACUCUGAAUGUAAUGGAAUGUCUAUUGUACAAUGUACAACCAAAAACAACUUUCAACAACGGAUCUCUUGGCUCUCGCAUCGAUGAAGAACGCAGCGAAAUGCGAUAAGUAAUGUGAAUUGCAGAAUUCAGUGAAUCAUCGAAUCUUUGAACGCACCUUGCACCCUUUGGUAUUCCGAAGGGUACACCCGUUUGAGUGUCAUUGUAAUCUCACUACAACCGCUUUUUUGUGGUUGCAUGUGGACUUGGAUGUUGCCGUGUAACAAACGGCUUGUCUGAAAUGCCUGAGUGUACCCUGCUUUGCGGCGUAUUCGGUGUGAUAAAUCUUCACCGGAGUUGACCCUCAGGGUCGCGUCUGCUUGACAUGGCUCUAUGCUUCCAACCGUCCUGACAAGACAAUCUUUGACAAUUUGACCUCAAAUCGGGUGGGACUACCCGCUGAACUUAAGCAUAUCAU